AGGUGUUUCUCACAGGACAUCCGUGUAAAAACUUCCAGGUGAUUAUCGCUUACACGAUGCUUCAGAUGGUGAGAGACCAGAUCCUCAGAGAAGACCUGGAAGAAGAGGAGAUCUUGAUGCUGUGCCAUAGCAUUGUAGACCUGGAUGCCGAUGACUUGAUCGCCAGAGCCUGCAACAUAUAUGAACUCUUCCUGAAACAUGAAGACAAGGUUCCAGAAGAUCUCAAGGAAUAUUUCAGCCAGCCUUAGCAACAAAGAGGCCGUGCUAUAAAUCAAGAGGCUGCUACAACAAAGCAGCAUGAGCGUUACAGAAUAGAUAGAAUUGAAAGGUAGAAAGAUCGUAAAUACUGUUCACCUAAGACUGGAUUCACCAAAUUAGAUUAUCUGAGGG